CUUAUCUCCCUUUCCUUUUCUUCUCUUCCACAUAUAAAACAAGUCUGAUCAUUACACUGAUCACAAAACGGUCACAAAACUGAUCAUUAUUUCUCCCCAUUUCCCCUUUCUACUCCCUUGGCCAGCUCCACAGGCAGCAUCCUUGGGUUGGUUUGAACUCCUUCCUCUUCUCAGCCACUCCUUUUCCUUGGGAGACCUCACUGCCUGGAGGGACACAUUCGGGUCCCUGGCUACAAAUGCAGCCGGGGUGAUACUGGUCUGCCAAGCAAUGGAGGCUGUGAGCAAGAAGCCAAUAGCAACUUGUUAAUAAGGUUUGUUUUGUAAAAAGGCCCCUUUGAGUUAGCAGUUAAAACGCUCUCUCUUCCCUUGACUUCUGCUGGAGUAAGCCAAUGACUUUCUGUAAUAAUUUUUAUCUGUGUGUCAAGAAUUUAACCUCGAAAGCAUAACUGGACUGCAUUAAUUAAGCUUUAUCUCAUCUCCAGCUGAACCAAUGGUCAACAAACAAACAGAGCUUUCUCAGGAUGGAGUUCCUGUGCAUUUACGUGGUCCACAGCAGUUUUACCUCCUGGGCAGAAAGGUAUUCCCCAGUCACUUUGUGGUGGGAGUCGUGAAUUCCCUCCUCACAGCUUAUUUGUGUCAACCAUAAAAUAUCCCCAAGCCUCUUCUUCCAGGAAAUGUGAGGUCCAGAAGAGGUCCUUUUGGUCUGCGCAGCAUCUUCCAAGCAUCCACAGAGUCUGGCACCUGGAGUAAAGGGCUCCUUUGCUUUUUACCCAUUGAUGCUAACGAUGACUCUGUGAGCAACCCGGCUUGACUCUGAGAAUGCAGGUUGGGUUUGUAACAGUAGCACUUUAGAAGACCUUCCUUUUGACCUCCUGAUGAAAUCAGCCAUGGUCUCGCUGUGCACAGAGCAUCCCCUCUGAGCACAGCUGCAACGAACAAGCAGGAAUUUCUGAGACGGCACAAACUUGCAAACCCUUCCACAAGAUUAUCAAAUGACAGCAGGUUGAAAGUAUGUAAUGAGCAGCACGGAUUCACUGACUAAGCAUCCCUACAGGGACUGGUGCUUAAU